GACGUAGGGCGCGAGCGUUGUCCGGAUUUAUUGGGCGUAAAGAGCGUGUAGGCGGCCUGACAGGUCUGCUGUGAAAACUCGAGGCUCAACCUCGAGAUGUCGGCGGAAACCGUCUGGCUAGAGUCCGGAAGAGGAGAGUGGAAUUCCUGGUGUAGCGGUGAAAUGCGCAGAUAUCAGGAAGAACACCUAUGGCGAAGGCAGCUCGCUGGGACGUUACUGACACUGAGGCGCGAAAGCGUGGGGAGCGAACAGG
rnacentral:rRNA from 1 species